GCCGGCCGCGCGCCGCGGAGAAGACCCCUGCGGCAUGAGGGGGGAAGAGGCGGUGACCGCGGUGGCGAUGCCCGAGGCGGGCCGCGACGGCGAGCAGCCUAGGCCGCCCGCAGGCCUGGGGUGCGGGGCGCGCGGGGAGACCGGGGGCCGCGGCCCCCAAGAGUUCUGGAAGCAGUGGAAGAAAUUUUUAUAUUGUGAGCCACAUAAGAGAAUUAAGGAGGUACUGAAAGAAGAACUUUAUAUUAAGAGAGAUGAAUAUGCCACAUUAAACAUCCACCUGCAGUGGCCCUGGAAGGGAUUUGGAGCAUUAAAAGGAAUCUCCCUGUGGGAGGCUUGAAACCAGGACUGCCGAGCAGAAACAGUUUACUGCCACAAGCCAAGUACUACUAUUCGAGGCACGGAGGGCUACGAAGAUAAGAUGAACAAUUUUUCCAUUGAGAAGAACCCUCUUUCUCCUGAGGUCUGAAAAAACAGAAGAAACCCACGCUUGUUUCAUGGUUUAGAUGUGUUUAAAAACAUUUAUAUUAGCCUGUAAUUCCUAUUAUUGGUAUUAGUUCCUAUCUAUAAAUUAAUCCAAAGCAAUGAAAGACUAUUGGUAAAGUUUGCUAAGCACCUGAAAACAAUGGAGGAAAAUAUAUUGAUUUUUAGUUGCCACAGGUAGGAUACACUGGGCUUCUAUUUCAGCUUAUUUUAUUAAGUAUGUCAAAUAUGAUAA